AUAUCCAUUAUAAUAAAGCAAUAGAAGAGGAGGAGAUUGAUUUAAAAGCUCAUUAGCCGAUGCAAUGAUGUUUUAGGAAGAAGAUAAAACAGUUAAACACUCAGAUCUCAAGUUUGUCUACUACUCUCCCAAAACCCGAUAAUAUUGUUCUCUUCUUUACGUUUGACCGGUGUCUCCUAUCUUCGGUCUUCGCAUGAGUUCAAUUUUUUAAAUAAAGAUAUUUUGGAUAUUAUUAGUUUGAUCAUUAUUUACAUUAAGUUAUUUUAAUUAAAGCUAUAUAUAUCUACAAGAUCUUUUUACCACUUUGAUCCUCCACCUUCUUUCAUAACGUUUAUCAGCAAUUUUGAAUUAUCAAUUUCCCACUAUGAGUAUGAUAAAUAUACACUUUUUUCUUCUUUUUUUUUUCACUUCAACAUUGCUAAUAAGAAAAAUGAUUACAAGUAUUUAUUUUCUCUAA